GACGAACGCUGGCGGCGUGCUUAACACAUGCAAGUCGAACGGAAAGGCUCCAGCUUGCUGGAGUACUCGAGUGGCGAACGGGUGAGUAACACGUGGGUAAUCUGCCCUGCACUCUGGGAUAAGCCUGGGAAACUGGGUCUAAUACAGGAUAUGACCUUUCUCCUUAUGGGGUUUGGUGGAAAGUUUUUCGGUGUAGGAUGAGCCCGCGGCCUAUCGGCUUGUUGGUGGGGUGAUGGCCUACCAAGGCGACGACGGGUAGCCGGCCUGAGAGGGUGAUCGGCCACAUUGGGACUGAGAUACGGCCCAGGCUCCUACGGGAGGCAGCAGUGGGGAAUAUUGCACAAUGGGCGGAAGCCUGAUGCAGCGACGCCGCGUGAGGGAUGACGGCCUUCGGGUUGUAAACCUCUUUCAGCAGGGACGAAGCGUAAGUGACGGUACCUGCAGAAGAAGCACCGGCUAACUAUGUGCCAGCAGCCGCGGUAAUACGUAGGGUGCGAGCGUCGUCCGGAAUUACUGGGCGUAAAGAGCUCGUAGGCGGUUUGUCACGUCGUCUGUGAAAUCCUAGGGCUUAACCCUGGACGUGCAGGCGAUACGGGCUGACUUGAGUACUACAGGGGAGGCUGGAAUUUCUGGUGUAGCGGUGGAAUGCACAGAUGUCAGGAAGAACACCGAUGGCGAAGGCAGGUCUCUGGGUAGUAACUGACGCUGAGGAGCGAAAGCAUGGGUAGCGAACAGGAUUAGAUACCCUGGUAGUCCAUGCCGUAAACGGUGGGCGCUAGGUGUGGGGUUCCUUCCACGGGCUCCGCGCCGUAGCUAACGCAUUAAGCGCCCCGCCUGGGGAGUACGGCCGCAAGGCUAAAACUCAAAGAAAUUGACGGGGGCCCGCACAAGCGGCGGAGCAUGUGGAUUAAUUCGAUGCAACGCGAAGAACCUUACCUGGGCUUGACAUAUAGAGGAUCGCUACAGAGAUGUGGUUUCCCUUGUGGCUUCUAUACAGGUGGUGCAUGGUUGUCGUCAGCUCGUGUCGUGAGAUGUUGGGUUAAGUCCCGCAACGAGCGCAACCCUUGUCUUAUGUUGCCAGCACGUUAUGGUGGGGACUCGUGAGAG
rnacentral:rRNA from 1 species